GAGGGACUGAAACGAGUUCAGAGAGAGAGAGAGAGAGAGAGUUGGGAUUGGGAGGGACUGAAACGAGUUCCAAUAAAUAUUCGAGUUUGAGAAAUUAUUUCCAUUUCACAAAUUCGAUAUUCCUAUUUGGACGUUUUCUUCCAUAAUAUUAUUGAUCUGAUCUUUAAAUAUAACAGCUAAACCCUUAUCGCCCAUGUCCAGUGGCCAGCCAUCCAAGAUUCCUAAAUGCAAUUACUGUGGUGGCCCUCGAGGGUUGAAUUCAAGGUAUGAAAUAAUGUUCCUUCAAUUUUUAGACUGAGGUAUUAUGUUGUCACAAAAGAGGCAAUUCUGUUGCAUUAUUCCUAAUCUAGUGUACAUGUUAGAUGGUCAUAUUUUACCCUGUUCCAUUUCAUGUUUAUUUGCAUCAUGUGGAGACCUGGGAGUCUAAUUUUGGAAAAUUCGAGUGCUUGUUGAUUUGUGAUGGUUCUAACAAUUUCCAAAAAAUUGUUGCAGAUGAUCAGGAGGGAGGUAUUAAACUUUAUUGUCUUCCUUUCAAGAAUUAUUUUUCAUUGCAACAUAGGAAAUCAUUUUUGAAAGCGAGAAUUCGCAUAUCGUGCUUGUUGAUUUGUGAUGGUUCUAACAAUGUCAAAAAAAUUGUUGCAGAUGAUCAGGAGGGAGAUAUUAAACUUUAUUAUUGUCUUCCUUUCAAGAAUUAUUUUUCAUUGCAACAUAGGAAAUCAUUUUUUAAAGCGAGAAUGCGCAUAUCUUGACACCAAAUGUGGGGAUAAACCGGUCUUUGAUCCAUAUUAAUCACCAAUUAUUAUAAAUCACAAAGCAGGACAUUACGCAGCAUUUAGAUGAGGUUUAUGCCGUUGAACCUGCUGUACUUAUUUCAAGAUCCUACAAAAAUUUCUACAGUUAUUAACAACUUAAAAGGGAUCUUAACGCAAGAAAUACGAAGUAAUGCAAAUUACUAACUAUGCAUAAUAUGGAAGUAAAGAUCUACAAAUCUCCUGAACAAAAAUUAUGCAUAAUUCUACUACUACGUUAAGUGUCUGUUUUCUUGUUUGUCUCAUAGUUGUCGAGUGUAUGAUGUCAAAUUUAGUACUGAAAGAAGUGAUAGGUAAUGAGCUGUGGAGCAAAGAAGAUUGAAAUUUAUGUUUAUAGGAGUGUUCAGAUGUGUUGUUACUGAUGCAUGUCUAAUACAGAUGUGUCUGCUUUAUAAUAGUGUCAAUGCCAUUUGCAUUGAGGAUUCUUCCAUAAAAAUAAAGCUUGUUGCUGUUCUGUUUUGUAGAAGGCUUCUUUAAUUUCUAUCUCCAUUCCUUCAUAAUAGUGAUUUUAUUAUCACUAGUUCUAUAUUGGCUCAAAAAAUUCUCGUGAAUUAGGUAGAUGACUUAGAAGCAGUUUGGGGAAAAUAUCCACCCUUACAUCAUAGCUUGCUUGGACUAUCUGUCUCUCUGUCUGCCUGAUGAAAGGAUGUUGGGGUUGACCUCAUUUUGAGUUUUCAAUGUAUAGGCUUUGCUCUGUUGUUCUUGAUAGUUAACCCAGCUUUUGCUGAAAAUUGGUGAGGCAAAAAAAUAAAAUAAAAUAAAACUAGAUGUUUUUUAGACCUGAUGUUAGUAAAACUGAGGUUUGCCUUGCACGGACAGGAAAAAUUCCCACUCAAACCAGGUUUUUGCCGUUCUCAAACAAGCCAUUCCCUUCUCUCUGUCUCUGCCUCUUUUCUGUGUGUUAGAAUAUAUCAUCACCUACCACCUCCACUCAACUCACCUACCACACACACUCACCUACUCCCCAAUCCUCUCCUAUAUAAUGAGUACCUCACCAUCUGUAAUUUACAACAUCAAUACAACAAUCUUGUAAUCCAUCAAUUAAUCAAUAAUACAUACAUAAAUUACAUAAAUUCUUACACUGUGACAGGUUGGAUGUUAAAAUCAUCACAAUUUUUUCAGUUGUCUGGAGUAAAGACAAUUCAUAUUGUCUUAUGGAUAGACCUGAAGCUUCUCAAUAUCCAUGUUGGUUGCUUGUUUGUUUUGUUGACUCCUUCUGCAUGCAUUAAAGGGUUAGUUGAUAUAGCACCACACUACUUUGACCUUGCAAACUUUCCACCUUGCAAGGCACGGCGUGUUGUUGAGAAGCUUUACAAGAAACGGGAAAAGGAGAGGGAAGAGAGCAGGAACAGAAAGUGAAGCUGUCCCCAUGUUUAUGCUCUCCUUGAGAAUGUGUCUCAGGAGCUUUUUAGUUAUCUGGAUUUUAUUAGCCCAGCAAAACCUCUCAACAGAUCCCAGUUUCAGGAAAAGCACAAUGGACUAGGUGGCCGAAUUUCAUGUACCAUUAAUGAUGUAGGUUUUAGUCAAGUUAAAAUUAAGAGCUGUACGAAUCUGUUGUAUGAACUCCCCCUUUUCUAUUUUUUUUCUCUCUUUUGGAUGUGGUUUAUUCGCAUUUUAUUUUUAUUAGAUAGAUUUUUCAACUGAAGCAAGAAAGUGGAACGACCAUGGGCAAGAGAAGAUAAAUUCAUGAGCUGUAUGAACUCUCCUUAUUUGUUUUUGAUGUAGUGAUUUUCUUGCAUUUUAUUGUUAUAGAUUUCUUUCUCUA